AAACUUCAAAAAAAACCCCGUGGUUUAUGCCCUCCUGUGGUUUAAAAUGUAUCAAAUUGCCCUCCUGUGGUUUCGUUUUUAUCUUUUCGGUAGUUUUUUCGUUAAUAUUUCAUUAAUUUAUAUACAAAAAACUUUAAAUACUCAUCUAGAUUUAUCAAAUAUUUAUUUUAAUACUCUUUAAUUUUAACUUUAUCACUGAUUUAAGAAAAAAAAUAAUAAAA
rnacentral:lncRNA from 1 species